rnacentral:rRNA from 1 species
UACGGGGGGGCAAGCGUUGUUCGGAAUUACUGGGCGUAAAGGGCUCGUAGGCGGCCAACUAAGUCAGACGUGAAAUCCCUCGGCUUAACCGGGGAACUGCAUCUGAUACUGGAUGGCUUGAGUUCGGGAGAGGGAUGCGGAAUUCCAGGUGUAGCGGUGAAAUGCGUAGAUAUCUGGAGGAACACCGGUGGCGAAGGCGGCAUCCUGGACCGACACUGACACUGAGGAGCGAAAGCCAGGGGAGCAA